AUUGAACGCUGGCGGCAUGCUUUACACACGCAAGUCGAACGGCAGCGCGGGCUUCGGCCUGGCGGCGAGUGGCGAACGGGUGAGUAAUACAUCGGAACGUGCCCAGUAGUGGGGGAUAGCUCGGCGAAAGCCGGAUUAAUACCGCAUACGACCUGAGGGUGAAAGCGGGGGAUCUUCGGACCUCGCGCUAUUGGAGCGGCCGAUGGCAGAUUAGCUAGUUGGUGGGGUAAAGGCCCACCAAGGCGACGAUCUGUAGCUGGUCUGAGAGGACGACCAGCCACACUGGGACUGAGACACGGCCCAGACUCCUACGGGAGGCAGCAGUGGGGAAUUUUGGACAAUGGGCGAAAGCCUGAUCCAGCAAUGCCGCGUGUGUGAUGAAGGCCUUCGGGUUGUAAAGCACUUUUGGCGGGAACGAAAAGGACUGUGCCAAUACCACGGUUCGAUGACGGUACCCGCAGAAUAAGCACCGGCUAACUACGUG
rnacentral:rRNA from 1 species